AACGUAGGAUCCGAGCGUUAUCCGAAUUCACUGGGCGUAAAGCGCGUGCAGGCGGCAUAGCAAGUUGGAUGUGAAAACUCCCGGCUCAACUGGGAGAGGACGUUCAAAACUGCUAGGCUAGAGGAUGGUAGAGGAAGGUAGAAUUCCCGGUGUAGUGGUGAAAUGCGUAGAUAUCGGGAGGAAUACCAGUGGCGAAGGCGGCCUUCUGGGCCAUACCUGACGCUCAGACGCGAAAGCUAGGGGAGCAAACGGGAUUAGAAACCCCGGUAGUCCUAGCCGUAAACGAUGUAGACUUGGCGUCAGAGGUGUAAAAACCUUUGGUGCCGAAGCAAACGCGAUAAGUCUACCGCCUGGGGACUACGGCCGCAAGGUUAAA
rnacentral:rRNA from 1 species